rnacentral:lncRNA from 1 species
CAUUUCAUCCGACAUGCGUAUUUUUUAUUUUCCAAUAGAUUUACAUCUUUAUCUUUCAUUAAUGGAAAUUUUUUGAUGUAGUUAGUAAUAGCUCUGGUGGUUCGCUGUUCAAGAAUUCUUGUUUAAGCAGUUCAUACCAUCCAUACAUAGUGUUUUGAUCUAAGAUUUCAAUUCUUCUAUGUUUCAGCAGUAGCAUAUUGUUCCAUGGAGCUAAGGUCCAAAAUAUGGAAGAAACAGGUGUUUCCACGACUCUACCACCCAGUCAAUUCUCUUCCACUUAAUCCCUAUUUCAUGGCCACAUAUCUUUCCGGCUAAGUAAUGGGAAACCUUUCUCCUGUUACAUGAAUCCAAUUUUCAUUUCAUCCGGAAAAAGCCAUCUUUUUCUCAACAAUGUCUUUGUCAUUUGAUCCAAUAGCGUUCCGUUAGAUAGGAACAGAUUUGAUAAAUACUGAUAACUCUCGGAUGGAGUAUUAGAACGGAAAAAUCCAUUAGAUAAUGAACUAUUGGUUCUAAGCCAUCUCUGGCGAUGAAUCAACAAUUCGAAGUGCUUUUCUUGCGUAUUCUUGAUAAACCAGCGUUUAUAUAUAGAUGUAGGAGGAUCUGGUUGGGAAGUAAGAAGCCCCUUUGACAUCUCUUCAUCUGCAAAGAAUUCUCGGUGUGAAAACACAGAGACAAGGGGCUGAUCUUUGAAUAGGAAAAAGAGUGGAUCCGCAGGUUCCCAAAUGAAUUGGCUUAUUCGAAAAAAGCCUUGUUCGUUGGAAGAUCUAUCUCGUGUCUGGUACUGCAUGGUUCUACUCUGCAAGAACUCCGAAUCAUUCUCUUGAAGCUCAUCCUUUUCAUCAUAAAUGAUCCGCUUGCCCGAAAUGACCCGGCCCGAUAGGGAAAUCCCAAUUCAUUGGGCCUUUCGAUACAAUCAAAUAGAAAGCCCAGGGGCGCCAUAUUCUAGGAGCCCAGACUAUGUGAUUGAAUAAAUCCUCCUCUAUCUGUUGCGGGUCGAGGACUCCUUCUCCUUCCCCUUCUUCAAACUCCGAUUCGUAUUUUUCAUAGAGAAAUCUCUGAUCAACGAUAGAACAAGAUCCUUUUUGCAUCAUAUCUAAGGGAUUCCUUGGUUCGGGCCGAAGAAGCAAUGUCACUCGAUCAUUAUCAAACCGACUGCAAUCUUUUUCUGUCCGCGAGGAUCCCACCAGAGCGCCUUCUACUUCUAAUAGGCCAUGGACUAGAUCAGAAUCAUUCUCAACGAGUCCAGAAGAAGUGAUCCCGUUUUUUUCAGCGGGUCCGGGUAGAGACCAAAGGUCUUGAGCGACCGAUCCGGCAGAACAACUCAAAAGAUAAAGAAGUAUCGUUAAUUUCUUCAUGCUCGUUCCAAGUUCGAAGUACCAUUUGUACAAAUAAGAAUCCCCUUCGUUACACGAUUUCUUCUUCAUAUAGAUAGAUAUAGGAUCUAUGGGGCAAUUACUUAGAAGUACAUUUUGUGCAACAGCCCUCCCUAUCUGAUAGAAAAGGAUCCCAUGAUCUUGAACCGAUCUUACCUGGGAUCGCAAAUCCCAAGUUUGUCUAUGAAGAGCAGAUCUAAUUGUAUUAGUGUCUAUAAUUGAUUUCUUCUGUGUAAUACUAAUCGAUAGGGCCUCAUUGGUAAGUGCUACAAGAUCUCGUGCAUUGGAACCCAUGGUUAUGGACCCGAAUCCAUUAGUAUGGAACAUUUUCUUUUCCAAGUGAAAUCCCCUAGUAUAUGAAAGAGUGAAAAAGUGCUUUCGUUGUUGUGGAAUAAGAAGCCUUCGUAUCUUAAUGCAUGUAUUUAAUUUAUUCGGGGCUAUUAGAGCGGGAUCCACUUUUUGGGGAAUAUGAGUCGAAGCAAUAACAAGAAUAUUUCUAGUGGAACAUCUUUCACAAUCCCUGGAGAGAUAGUUCACUAAUAGACCGAGGGAUAAGUAAUUCGACUCAUUCACAUCCAGAUCAUGAAUGUUUGGAAUCCAUAUUAUGCAAGGAGACAUUGCUUUUGCUAAUUCGAAUUGAAGGGUGAUAUAAAAUCGGCCUAUUUCCGACAUCAUAUCGAUAGUUAGCGCAUUCAUCAUAGUUAGAAGCUCCAGCUCCGUAUCAAGGUCACGAUCGAUAUCGUCACUAGCAUCAAUAUCGUCACUAGCAUCAUCGAUAUCAUCAAUAAGAAAACCUUUAGGCUUGUUAUCCAGGAACUUGUUCAGAAAUACUGUAAUGAAAGGAACAUAGGAGUUUGCCGCUAGGUAUUUGACCAAAUAGGAGCGUCCGGUUCCUAUAGAACCUAUCACUAAAAUACCCCUAGAGGGGAUAGGGCUAGGCGGAGCGAAAAGGGUUUUCCAUGAGAUGGGAAAUGAAAACUAUUAGCCCCACACGAAGUUUGUGAAUAAGUGAUUGUCUGAUAAUGAGCAAGGAAUAUCCGUCUUUCUGCUAAACAGUAUGUAUUGAACUCAUAAUUCAUGAAAUGCUUUUUAUGAAUGUCAACUAAGUAUCGUAAGUAAAUUGUUCC